rnacentral:tRNA from 1 species
GCUGUGGCUCAGUGGUAAAGCAUCUGCCUUGCAGGCAGAAGUUCCCAGGUUCAAUUCCCAGCAUCUCCA